rnacentral:rRNA from 1 species
GACGAACGCUGGCGGCGUGCUUAACACAUGCAAGUCGAACGGAAAGGCCCUGCUUUUGUUGGGUGCUCGAGUGGCGAACGGGUGAGUAACACGUGAGUAACCUGCCCUUGACUUUGGGAUAACUUCAGGAAACUGGGGCUAAUACCGGAUAGGAGCUCCUGCUGCAUGGUGGGGGUUGGAAAGUUUCGGCGGUUGGGGAUGGACUCGCGGCUUAUCAGCUUGUUGGUGUGGUAGUGGCUUACCAAGGCUUUGACGGGUAGCCGGCCUGAGAGGGUGACCGGCCACAAUGGGACUGAGGGACGGACCAGACGCCAACGGGAGGCAGCAGUGGGGAAUAUGGCACAAUGGGCGGAAGCGUGAUGUAGCAACGUCGCGUGCGGGAUGACGGCCUUCGGGGUGUAAACCGCUUUCGACUGUGACGAAGCGUGAGUGACGGUAAUGGGUAAAGAAGCAACGGCUAACUACGUG